rnacentral:rRNA from 1 species
CGUGCCUAAUACAUGCAAGUCGAGCGAACGGACGAGAAGCUUGCUUCUCUGAUGUUAGCGGCGGACGGGUGAGUAACACGUGGAUAACCUACCUAUAAGACUGGGAUAACUUCGGGAAACCGGAGCUAAUACCGGAUAAUAUUUUGAACCGCAUGGUUCAAAAGUGAAAGACGGUCUUGCUGUCACUUAUAGAUGGAUCCGCGCUGCAUUAGCUAGUUGGUAAGGUAACGGCUUACCAAGGCAACGAUGCAUAGCCGACCUGAGAGGGUGAUCGGCCACACUGGAACUGAGACACGGUCCAGACUCCUACGGGAGGCAGCAGUAGGGAAUCUUCCGCAAUGGGCGAAAGCCUGACGGAGCAACGCCGCGUGAGUGAUGAAGGUCUUCGGAUCGUAAAACUCUGUUAUUAGGGAAGAACAUAUGUGUAAGUAACUGUGCACAUCUUGACGGUACCUAAUCAGAAAGCCACGGCUAACUACGUGCCAGCAGCCGCGGUAAUACGUAGGUGGCAAGCGUUAUCCGGAAUUAUUGGGCGUAAAGCGCGCGUAGGCGGUUUUUUAAGUCUGAUGUGAAAGCCCACGGCUCAACCGUGGAGGGUCAUUGGAAACUGGAAAACUUGAGUGCAGAAGAGGAAAGUGGAAUUCCAUGUGUAGCGGUGAAAUGCGCAGAGAUAUGGAGGAACACCAGUGGCGAAGGCGACUUUCUGGUCUGUAACUGACGCUGAUGUGCGAAAGCGUGGGGAUCAAACAGGAUUAGAUACCCUGGUAGUCCACGCCGUAAACGAUGAGUGCUAAGUGUUAGGGGGUUUCCGCCCCUUAGUGCUGCAGCUAACGCAUUAAGCACUCCGCCUGGGGAGUACGACCGCAAGGUUGAAACUCAAAGGAAUUGACGGGGACCCGCACAAGCGGUGGAGCAUGUGGUUUAAUUCGAAGCAACGCGAAGAACCUUACCAAAUCUUGACAUCCUUUGACAACUCUAGAGAUAGAGCNUUCCCCUUCGGGGGACAAAGUGACAGGUGGUGCAUGGUUGUCGUCAGCUCGUGUCGUGAGAUGUUGGGUUAAGUCCCGCAACGAGCGCAACCCUUAAGCUUAGUUGCCAUCAUUAAGUUGGGCACUCUAAGUUGACUGCCGGUGACAAACCGGAGGAAGGUGGGGAUGACGUCAAAUCAUCAUGCCCCUUAUGAUUUGGGCUACACACGUGCUACAAUGGACAAUACAAAGGGCAGCGAAACCGCGAGGUCAAGCAAAUCCCAUAAAGUUGUUCUCAGUUCGGAUUGUAGUCUGCAACUCGACUACAUGAAGCUGGAAUCGCUAGUAAUCGUAGAUCAGCAUGCUACGGUGAAUACGUUCCCGGGUCUUGUACACACCGCCCGUCACACCACGAGAGUUUGUAACACCCGAAGCCGGUGGAGUAACCUUUUAGGAGCUAGCCGUCGAAGGUGGGACAAAUGAUUGGGGUGAAGUCGUAACAAGGUAGCCGUAUCGGAAGGUGCGGCUGGAUCACCU